CAUGGAGAAGAGAAGGCGCCAGGGGGACCUUAUAGUGUCCUGCCAGGACCUGGCACGGGGCUGUGAGCAGCCUGGGCUGGUGAGAGGUGUCCCUGCCCACAGCAGGGGGUUGGAAUGAGGUGGUCUGACAGGUUCCAAGCCAACCCAAACCAUCCCAUGAUUCCAUGAUCUUGAAGGUCCCUUCCAACCUAAACCAUCCCAUGUUUCCAUGAUCUUGAAGGCCCCUUCCAGCCCAAAGCAUCCCAUGAUUCCAUGAUCUUGAAGGUCCCUUCCAGCCCAAACCAUCCCAUGAUUCUCUGAUUCUAUUCCUAGGGACCAGGCACUGGAGUGAAGUUCUCCAUCACGCUUCCCUUCUGAGCCCCCCCAGCUGCUGAACUCUGCUGCCCCUCUGCUCCCACUGCCCUCCCAUGGCCACAGCCAGGAGCUCUUUCCUCCUGGGAAGAGCAGCUGCAGUCCUCUCGGCUCCUCUGUCAAACCCAUUUUCCCAGCCUGGUGGUGGGAUGCCCUGCAGGGUUGGACAGCCCCAACUCUUCCUGCCCCCCCCCCCCCCCCCCCCCCCCCCCCCGGGUGCUCUCUGCCAUCCUCCCUCCUGGCUGCAGACCGCAGGGAGCAGAUGGGCCCUUCCUCCUCCCGGCUCAGUGCUUCCUGCUGCUUCCCACUCGCCAACAUUUGCAUCUCGCUUCUGCUCUGACCUUUGCAGAGAGUGGAGCAGGAAGUGAGCGCAGUGCUGCACUAUGAGCCCCUCUGCACAGCGCCGGGUGUGUCUGCAUCCUCCUGAGCUGUGUGUGCAACUCCACCGAUUUGCCCCAUUCCAUGGCAGAGCCCUGGCCCAUAGUAGAGCCUCUGUCCCAUGGCAGGGCCCCUGGCCUCAUGGCAAAGCCCUCCACUCCACAGCAGAGCCCUUUCCCCAUGGCAAAACCCCUGCCCCAUGGCAGAGCUCUUGCACCAUGGUAGAGCCCCCAUGCCAAGGCAGAGCCCUGGCCCAUCGUAGAGCCCCUGUUCCAUGGCAGAGCCCCCACCCUAUGGCAGAGCCCUAUGGAGGAGCCCACACCCUAUGACACAGCUCCAGCUCCAUAGCAGAGCUCCCACCCCAUGGCAGAGCCCUUGCCCCAUGGCAAAGCCCUCACCCUAUGGCAGAGCCCCAGCCCUACGACAGAGCACCUGCCUGGAUGCUGCUCCCCCAGCACCACCCCACCCGUGUGCUGUUGCAGCCCCACGGAUUGCAUGCUAGCAGACAAU
rnacentral:lncRNA from 1 species